UUACUUUUUACUAUAUACUGUGAAAGUACUUUUAUUCGUGGGGUACCAAUUUUCGUGGUUUUCGUUGAUGACUUUAUCCACGAAUUUAAGUGUCCAACGAAAUAACACAACCAUUGUCCAAAUCAAGACAUGGAAAGAUCUCGAAUCUGAGAAUGCAGUCACAGAACUACAACUGCAUGCAGGAUUAUACCCUUUUAAUCUUUAAUAACCUAAACUGUACAAUUUUUUGUUUUCAAUAUUCUCAUCAAAAUAUUUUUUUCGAUGAAAGUCAGAUUUAUGGU
rnacentral:lncRNA from 1 species